CUCGCUCUGAUAUCGGAAUGUGAACUUCUGCUUUCUUUGCCACCAUAGAGGUAGAAGGGGUUGUAGGCAUGGGAGUGGCAUGCUGCUGGUCAAUGGGCAUCGCCAUUAAGCUGAACAAAACAACAGGACUAACUGGAGGAUCUCUGCUGAACUCUUGUUUCAAUAAUUCUUCAACUGCUGUUGUGUCAUCCGCAGAAAUGCCGUUUCCCGUCGGUUCUGUUCUUCCUCGAGCAUUGGGAAGAGUGCGUGUCCCAUUUUUACCUUUGUCAUUGUUUGCUUAACUGACAACAGAUCUUUCACUAAGUUUUUUUCUAAACUACUGGUUUAGUGGGUGAGGUCCUACAGUGUGGCUCGUCUUGGAACCUGAGGUUUACACAGGAGUUUUCCCAAUACCCGAACACCCAAGGUGCUACUGUUUAAACCUCACCAGAUGCUGAAGCCUAUCGCUUCCCAGAAGAAUAUGAUGAAAGUUAAUAUGGGCAUGGGGGCCAAACAAAAACCAGUGUUUCCUAAAACAACAAUCUACAAAGCAUAUCAGCUAUCUGUUUCAUGUGAGUACGCAGCUUAUUAUUAUUAUGCAACAAUAUUUUGUGAUACAACCAAAAGAUUGACAAGUUGACAUAACAUGAGCCGAGUGCUCUAAUCAACCUAAGGUAUUUAUUUAUUCUCGCAUUACAAUGUAAUGUCCAAAG